rnacentral:lncRNA from 1 species
UUCUCGAGUUCAUUUUUACAGAUGAUGGCCUAAGGCAAACAGGAUUAAAGUGACUUGUCUAGGAUCACACAGCUAGUAAUUGCCUGAGGCUGGAUUUGAAAUCAUAAAGAUGAAUCUUCUUGAUUCCAAGCCCAGUGCUCUAUCCACUGCACCACCUAGCUGACCCAUAUCUUCUGGUGAUAUAUGACUAAAAAUCAGUUAAAAUUGAUGAUCACCCAAAGGGUAAUCAGGAACUGAGUUAUAUAACACUUUAAUGUUUGCAAUGUACUUUAUGUACAUUAUCUCAUUUAAUCUUCUCAACAACAUUCCUGUAAGAGAUGUACUCUUAUUAUCUUCAUUUAAUAGAUGAAACCAAUUUACAGAUGCUAAAUGACCUCCCCAGGUCUCUGAGUUAGUCAAGGAGCGUCUGAUUGGUCUGGUGGUGCUGUGCACAGUCCUGGCAUUGGUCCAUGGAAACUGUCAAAAGGGAGGUCUUGAUGUGGUCAUGAGCCCUGUAGGUGCCAGGCCAGUGUGUAUGGACUCAGUUGAUAAUAAGUUGUACAAGAUGGGCUCCAGAUGGCAAAACAGCCAAUGUAUGCAAUGUUCCUGCACACCUAGGGGUGUAAGCUGCUGUGAGAGCAUCAAUCCGUGUAGCUGAAGAACUGAUGGUCUUUAAGAGAGCAACUUUGGUUUCUUUGUUGGAGAAUAUCUAACCCCUAUGGAUCUCGGGAACAAGAAGGCAAUAAACUAUUAGCUGGAAGUCA